rnacentral:rRNA from 1 species
AGAGUUUGAUCAUGGCUCAGAUUGAACGCUGGCGGCAGGCCUAACACAUGCAAGUCGAGCGGUAGCACAAGGAGCUUGCUCCUGGGUGACGAGCGGCGKWCGGGUGAGUAAUGUCUGGGAAACUGCCCGAUGGAGGGGGAUAACUACUGGAAACGGUAGCUAAUACCGCAUAACGUCUUCGGACCAAAGUGGGGGACCUUCGGGCCUCACACCAUCGGAUGUGCCCAGAUGGGAUUAGCUAGUAGGUGAGGUAAUGGCUCACCUAGGCGACGAUCCCUAGCUGGUCUGAGAGGAUGACCAGCCACACUGGAACUGAGACACGGUCCAGACUCCUACGGGAGGCAGCAGUGGGGAAUAUUGCACAAUGGGCGCAAGCYKGAUGCAGCCAUGCCGCGUGUGUGAAGAAGGCCUUCGGGUUGUAAAGCACUUUCAGCGAGGAGGAAGGGUUCGGUGUUAAUAGCACCGUUCAUUGACGUUACUCGCAGAAGAAGCACCGGCUAACUCCGUGCCAGCAGCCGCGGUAAU